ensembl:lncRNA
AGCCAGUCCUGGGAAGGCUGGGAGGCAUGGCUCUCUCCACUUCUACCUGGCAACUCCUGGACCAGAGUGUCAUGGAGGACUAAACUUCCCUGGUGACUCUCUGCAUCUUCCCCCAGCUCCUGGCAAGCAGUCAAUACUUUGGAAAGAUAGACGGAGGCUCAGAGAGGAGAAGUAACUGCCAGACCACCACACAGCUAGAGAGAGAUGGGGCAGGAUUUGAUCCAAAGGCUGACAUGUAAGUCCACACUGGGCCACUUGGCAGCUCUGCCCAUUUGUGAACUGAG